UCGAACGCUGGCGGCAUGCCUUACACAUGCAAGUCGAACGGUAGAGGGGCAACCCUUGAGAGUGGCGAACGGGUGAGUAAUAUAUCGGAACGUGCCCAGUCGUGGGGGAUAACGCAGCGAAAGCUGCGCUAAUACCGCAUACGAUCUAUGGAUGAAAGCGGGGGAUCGCAAGACCUCGCGCGAUUGGAGCGGCCGAUAUCAGAUUAGGUAGUUGGUGGGGUAAAAGCCCCACCAAGCCG
rnacentral:rRNA from 1 species